UGGGGAAUAUUGCACAAUGGGGGAAACCCUGAUGCAGCGACGCCGCGUGAACGAAGAAGGUAUUCGUAUCGUAAAGUUCUGUCCUAUGGGCAGAUAAUGACAGUACCAUAGAAGAAAGCUCCGGCUAAAUACGUGCCAGCAGCCGCGGUAAUACGUAUGGAGCGAGCGUUGUCCGGAAUUAUUGGGCGUAAAGGGUACGCAGGCGGUUUAAUAAGUCGAAUGUUAAAGAUCGGGGCUCAACCCCGUAAAGCAUUGGAAACUGAUAAACUUGAGUAGUGGAGAGGAAAGUGGAAUUCCUAGUGUAGUGGUGAAAUACGUAGAUAUUAGGAGGAAUACCAGUAGCGAAGGCGACUUUCUGGACACAAACUGACGCUGAGGUACGAAAGCGUGGGGAGCAAACAGG
rnacentral:rRNA from 1 species